rnacentral:rRNA from 1 species
UACGUAUGGUGCAAGCGUUGUUCGGAAUCACUGGGCGUAAAGAGCGCGUAGGCGGAUAAUUAAGUCGGGUGUGAAAACUAUGGGCUCAACCCAUAGCCUGCAUCCGAAACUGUUUAUCUGGAGUCCUGGAGAGGCAGGCGGAAUUCUUGGUGUAGCGGUGAAAUGCGUAGAUAUCAAGAGGAACACCAAUGGCGAAGGCAGCCUGCUGGACGGUGACUGACGCUGAGGCGCGAAAGCGUGGGGAGCAAAC